CCUACGGGUGGCAGUAGUGAGGAAUAUUGGUCAAUGGGCGAGAGCCUGAACCAGCCAAGUCGCGUGAGGGAGUACUGCCCUAUGGGUUGUACACCUCUUUUGUCGGGGAGCAAAAGCCGGACGUGUCCGGCUGUGAGAGUACCCGAAGAAAAAGCAUCGGCUAACUCCGUGCCAGCAGCCGCGGUAAUACGGAGGAUGCGAGCGUUAUCCGGAUUUAUUGGGUUUAAAGGGUGCGCAGGCGGAUUUUUAAGUCAGCGGUAAAAUCGUGGGGCUCAACCCCAUCCAGCCGUUGAAACUGGGGAUCUAGAGUGUGCGAGAGGUAUGCGGAAUGCGUGGUGUAGCGGUGAAAUGCAUAGAUAUCACGCAGAACCCCGAUUGCGAAGGCAGCAUACCGGUGCACAACUGACGCUCAGGCACGAAAGCGUGGGUAUCGAACAGGAUUAGAUACCCGUGUAGUC
rnacentral:rRNA from 1 species